rnacentral:rRNA from 1 species
UAACAGUUAGAAAUGACUGCUAAUACCGCAUAAGACCACGGAGCCGCAUGGCUCAGUGGGAAAAACUCCGGUGGUAUGAGAUGGACCCGCGUCUGAUUAGGUAGUUGGUGGGGUAACGGCCUACCAAGCCAACGAUCAGUAGCCGACCUGAGAGGGUGACCGGCCACAUUGGGACUGAGACACGGCCCAAACUCCUACGGGAGGCAGCAGUGGGGAAUAUUGCACAAUGGGGGAAACCCUGAUGCAGCGACGCCGCGUGAGCGAAGAAGUAUUUCGGUAUGUAAAGCUCUAUCAGCAGGGAAGAAAAUGACGGUACCUGACUAAGAAGCACCGGCUAAAUACGUGCCAGCAGCCGCGGUAAUACGUAUGGUGCAAGCGUUAUCCGGAUUUACUGGGUGUAAAGGGAGCGUAGACGGCUGUGUAAGUCUGAAGUGAAAGCCCGGGGCUCAACCCCGGGACUGCUUUGGAAACUAUGCUGCUAGAGUGUCGGAGAGGUA